rnacentral:rRNA from 1 species
AGUCGAACGAUGAACCACUUCGGUGGGGAUUAGUGGCGAACGGGUGAGUAAAAGAAAAUAAUCUGCCCUUCACUCUGGGACAAGCCCUGGAAACGGGGUCUAAUACCGGAUAUCACUUGCGCAGGCAUCUGUGCGGGUUGAAAGCUCCGGCGGUGAAGGAUGAGCCCGCGGCCUAUCAGCUUGUUGGUGAGGUAACGGCUCACCAAGGCGACGACGGGUAGCCGGCCUGAGAGGGCGACCGGCCACACUGGGACUGAGACACGGCCCAGACUCCUACGGGAGGCAGCAGUGGGGAAUAUUGCACAAUGGGCGCAAGCCUGAUGCAGCGACGCCGCGUGAGGGAUGACGGCCUUCGGGUUGUAAACCUCUUUCAGCAGGGAAGAAGCGCAAGUGACGGUACCUGCAGAAGAAGCGCCGGCUAACUACGUGCCAGCAGCCGCGGUAAUACGUAGGGCGCUAGCGUUGUCCGGAAUUAUUUGGGCGUAAAGAGCUCGUAGGCGGCUUGUCACGUCGGGUGUGAAAGCCCGGGGCUUUAACCCCGGGUCUGCAUUUCGAUACGGGCAGGCUAGAGUGUGGUAGGGGAGAUCGGAAUUCCUGGUGUAGCGGUGAAAAUGCGCAGAUAUCAGGAGGAGCACCGGUGGCGAAAGGCGGAUCUCUGGGCCAUUACUGACGCUGAGGAGCGAAAGCGUGGGGAGCGAACAGGAUUAGAUACCCUGGUAGUCCACGCCUGUAAAACGGUGGAGACCUAGGUGUUGGCAGACGUUCCACGUCGUCGGUGCCGGCAGCUAACGCAUUAAAGUUCCCCGCCUGGGGAGUCCGGCCGCAAGGUUAAAACUUCAAGGAAUUGAUGGGGGCCCGCACAGCAGCCGGAGCAUUGUGCUUAAUUCGACGCAACCCGAAGAACUUUACUAAGGCUUGACAUACACCGGGAAAGCAUUAGAAGAAGGAGCCCCCCUUGGGUCGGUGUCAGGUGGUUGCAUGGAUUUUCGUCAGCCUCGGUCCGUAGAUGUUUGGUUAAAGUCCCCGCAAACGAAGGGCUAUCCCUUUGGACUGGGUGUUUGCCAAGCGGUGCCCUUUCGGUGUUGAACGGGGAACUCCCCAGGGAAAACUCGCCGGUG